rnacentral:rRNA from 1 species
UGGGGAAUCUUGCACAAUGGGCGAAGAGCCUGAUGCAGCGACGCCGCGUGCGGGAAGAAGGGGCGUAUGCCUUGUAAACCGCUGUCGGGGGGGAGGAAAGGGGGGGCACAGCUCCCCUGGGACAGUACCCCCAGAGGAAGGGCCGGCUAACUACGUGCCAGCAGCCGCGGUAAAACGUAGGGCCCGAGCGUUGUCCGGAAU